rnacentral:lncRNA from 13 species
UUCUGUCUCUCUCUCUGUCUCUCUCUCUCUAUUUAUCUUUCUGUCCUCCUGUUCCUACUUCUCUAUCUCCCUAUAUUUCUCGGCUGUCCCCCUCCCUCCCUCCAGCCCUAUCCAGCCCCUAGCUCCUACCCAGCCCCUCCAUCCAGUCCUACCCAGCCCCUCCCUCCAGUCCUACCCAGCCCCUCCAUCCAGUCCUACCCAGCCCCUCCAUCCAGNNNNNNNNNNNNNNNNNNNNNNNNNNNNNNNNNNNNNNNNNNNNNNNNNNNNNNNNNNNNNCCCAGUUACUCUACACCCAGCCCAGUUAGUCUACACCCAGCCCAGUUACUCUAUACCCAGCCCAGUUACUCUACACCCAGCCCAGUUAGUCUACACCCAGCCCAGUUACUCUAUACCCAGCCCAGUUACUCUAUACCAAAUCUCAGUUACUCUACACCCAGCCCAGUUAUUCUACACCCAGCCCAGUUAGUCUACACCCAGCCCAACUACACUACACUCAGCCCAGUCCACGGUACUGCAGCUUACACUCAGCCCAGCUCAGUUGCUUUACACUCAGCCCUGGAACCCAAAGGGUUCUACCUGGAACCAUAAAGGGUUCUACCUGGAACCAAAAAGGGUUCUACCUGGAACCACAAUGGGUUCUACCUGGAACCGAAAAGGGUUCUACCUGGAACCGAAAAGUGUUCUUCAAAGGGUUCCCUAAAAGGAAGCCCCGAAGAACCCUUUGAGGUCUAGCACCGUUUUUCUAAGAGUUUAGUGAUACGGAACCCAGCCAGUACAGCUCAGCAUGGUUGGUCACAGCUCAGGGUUGCAUGGUUGGUCACAGCUCAUUAUGGUUGGUCACAGCUCAGCUUUGCAUGGUUGGUCACAGCUCAGGUUUGCAUGGUUGGUCACAGCUCUGCAUGGUUGGUCACAGCUCAGGUUUGCAUGGUUGGUCACAGCUCAGGUUUGCAUGGUUGUUCUCAGCUCAGGUUUGCAUGGUUGGUCUCAGCUCAGCUAAGUAGUGUGAAAGGGUACCAGGCUACUGUAGCCCACAGUACAGGAACUCUCUUCAGGGUGUGUUUCCACUGCCUCACCAUAACUUUCUAAUGGCAUCUCUUGACUCAUUUGUCCUUCAGGUAUUUUCGUUCAAGAGGCAUCUCUUUAUUCCUCAUCCUUCCUUUUACCUUGGUAUGGUCAUUAUUAAAGCCAUGUUGGUGAACUAAACUACACAACAGUAGAUAUGGUCAUUAGCCAUGUUGGUGAACUAAACUACACAACAGUAGUGAUGGUCGUUAUUAAAGACAUGUUGGUGAACUAAACUACACAACGUAGGGAUGGUCAUUAUUAAAGACAUGUUGGUGAACUAAACUACACAACAGUAGAUAUGGUCAUUAGCCAUGUUGGUGAACUAAACUACACAACGUAGGUAUGGUCAUUAUUAAAGACAUGUUGGUGAACUAAACUACACAACAGUAGGGAUGGUC